rnacentral:lncRNA from 1 species
GUUGGCAGAAAGCAAAUACUGUCAUAGAAUAAGGGCAGAAGAGCACAAGUUAACACUGUAGCUUAGAACACAAGGCUGAUUGUUGUAGCAGUAGGUAGAACACCUGAAAUCCAUAAAUCUGCAUUUCCAUCAGGUCUGCCCAAUUUUAAAAUACAGCAGUUCUGAGGUAGCAUAGAAUAAUUAAACAUACAUUUCAGUCCCCACUGUAGUUAGAGGUACUGCAAUUGCUGAAGAGACCCAAACUGUUACAACUCCCCCUAAACAAACAGUACAGGACAAAGAGCUGAAGGAAGAGGGCUAGUUGCAGUGUGCAGGCUCUCUCACCUUUACUGUCUGUUUUUCUAGAGGCUUUAGCAUUUAAGAUUUAGCUAAAGCUAAAUCCCUGCUUUAGCUUUACACCUGUGUUGGCUUGCAGUGUAGCAGUACAAAAUAAUUCCCUGGCUGCAGCUGCUUCUUUCAGUCAUCAGUUUUAUUUGAAUGUUACAUUCUGUAUGAAGUAAACAGCCCCCUCUCCACACUUGAACAGUUGGAACACAGUUGAUAACCCUUUCCUAGUACAACCACACCUUGAUCCACUACUCCAACUUACAGGGCAGUGAAGUUAAAAUAUUUAACAUUCUCAAUUAUUACAAGAAAUAGGAGUGUUUAAGAGCAUUUAAGAGCUGUCCUUUUCUUUCUUGCAAGAGACUUGCAGCAACAUCACAUCAGGACCUGGGAGAAAAAAAAAAUAGUUAGCACCAUAACUCAAGAGAAAGAAAAGCACUUUGCCUUCUGCCUUCCUAUAGGCUGAAGGAACUUAACUUUGUAACAUGGUGCCAAUGUAACAGCAGUAAGGCAGGCACACAUAUAUACGUCCCUUACUAAACUCUUUAGGGGCAAAAUCAUUUUGCAUGGUAGCUCUGAUUAGUUUCCUAUAUGCACUCUAUCCAUAAUAUUCCAUUUCAACACUACUGUCCACUUCCUCACCUACUUGGGAUUAUCUGUUUCCAUGCAGUUUCAAGAACAUGCCAUACACCCAAGCAGAAAAAAAAGCAUUAAAAGAUACAAGAACUACUCAUCAUGCCACAACUGUAUGAAUAUUCUCUUCCAACCCCACGUGCUGCUGAAGUCAGCUGCUUGCAGAUGAAAUCAGUAGCAUUCUGCCUGCAUUAGCAAUUCAAGAAGUGACAGGGCAGAAGCUACAGGUGGUUUCUCAUUCCAAGCAGCAAUAUAACUUAAGAAUUGUCUCCUCUGAAAUAGACCACAGCACACACAAAGUGGCUACAGCAUCCUGCUGAAAGGAGUUCAAUGUACGGUCACUGCGUUAAGAGCUGCUGGUUCUCCAGCCAUGCAAACCCUCUUUGAAGCGACCUUGAAUUUCUUGUGGGUACCAGCACUGCUGCUAAGCAUCUUACCUACAGACUUACUGUGGCAGCACUCAGGUACAACUUCUCACCCCCUGACAUUCAGUGACAGCAGCGGACUCUGGGUACACAAAGGCACAGUAGUUAGUAUAAAAGAGUUAAACUGAAGUUGGAUGCCAAGUGCAAGGAGCAGCCUUUCAUUCUCCAUUUUGAACGCAUGACAGUUCUGUCAACAGCAGCUUCUGGAGCUUGAGUUCAACAGCUGAAGAUUCUAGCUAGCACUUUGGUUCCUUGGCAGCCAAAGAGAGCCGCUAACACCCAGCAGAAGGGAGUGCUGUGUCUGUGGCCUACACCAAAGCUUUAUUCCCAGCAGACCUACUGCCACACAACGCAGCAAUUCAAGAGUCUGAUGGACUUGCUAUAUGGUCAUGUCCACAGCUCACCAGGAACAGCAAUAUCCUUGCAGCCUUGGUAAUGACCAGAUCCUCUCUCCCUUUACCACUGCUUUUACAAGCAUUUAAGACUAGCCUGCAGGUAGACACCCUGACCCAGAUACUGCCAAAAUCUGGAGUGCUGCCCAGGACUGCCUGCUACUGGACAGUCAUUUCUAUGUUUCUAGACAGUUUAUGGAAGUUUUGAUCUUCUAGAGUCAUACAUUAGCAACCGAGCUUCCAUCAAGUUGCCUGAAACCUUCUGAACUGAGAACUCAGUGCUUACCUGUCCAACACUUUGUUUCCUCUUCCACAGCCAACUGACUGUUGUGUAUCCCAAGGCACCUGUUUUAAAGAAACAAACUGAGCACGAGGGAGAACCAGUGGGCAGCUCACACUGACAAGUCCUACCCGACAUAAAAGGACUGCGCUCAAAUCCUUGAAGAGGGCAGCACCUGUAUCAGCAAGAAUACCAGGUUUAACAACCACUGCAGAGUGAAAACCAACGAUGCCAAAUGCUGAAUUACUGUAGCACUGGUUUUUGAACACCCCAUCAGAAGAACGCUGCUGGGUGCAGAUACCAUUCAGUGCAACAGACGCAGCAGUCCUCAGUCAACAAAUGCACGUUAAGGUUCAAGCUGUCCAUACACCAGGCAGCGAUAAGCUGAAGUACCAAUUUCACAGAAGUUGCCAUGCAACGAAGAGGGAAAAGAAAUUCCAUCAAUUUCAGCAGCCUCGUAAUUCUUUCAAGUAUUUAUAUUCCCAGCACAAAGGGCUUAUAGAAGCAUUGUCUGCGUUUUACUUUAAGCUAUGUUCUAUAGAAUAGCACAAUGCUCCAUACAACCCAGGACUUCUGACACUGUACUAGUAAACUGCCUGAGAUGCUCAGCUACUUUGAAGCUUAGCAGGAGAAAAGCAGUAUUGCUGAAUUACAUAGAGCAAAAAUCCGGCAGGCUCAUUGAAUUACUUUAAGACUGGACAGACAUCAGAGGGCUGGACUUCUUAAUUUAAACCUAUAGCCACCACAAGGAACAGAAAGUCACUUUCAGAUUGAAGUGGGAAGAGUCUGCUUCAAGCCAACCAGGAAAAAAAAAAGCCACUAAGAGGUCUGGUACCUUCACAGACAUCUGGCUGAAGAGCAAGUUCAACCCACACAAUUAAACAUGUUAGUUACAUUUUAAAUCUCAGAACAUGCUCUUUUUCACUCUUACCAAGCUUUUCCAUUUGAAUCUUUUUUUUUCCAUUUAUAUCAAAUGCAUGAGCCAGUACCUGAGGGAGAACAUGACAUGUUACUUCCAUUCCUGAAAUGGGACAUGAAGAUUUGUCUUGUAGUUCUAUCCCACAGAGCUAACAGGUAGCUCCAAGGGUAAAACUAAACCACAAGUUUGUUCUGUGAGGCGUUUCCAACGACAUGAACCUACAGAAGAGAUCCUAUCGGGAUAGACCUCAACAUUUCUGUGACCAUAAACUAAUGCAACAAAAAUCAAGCAGACUGGAAAAGCAUCUCAUACAGUUCCUAUAAAGUUCCUUCUUCUGUCAUGACUUUUGGGGGAAAAGGGAGGGAAAUGUUACACUACCAUUUCAUUUGGAAGAUGCAGCAGUAACUCCACAUCAGCAACAGUUUCAUGUUAAAAGCUAACAUUACAUGAACAAUAUAAAACUGAGAGAAUUAACUACAAUGUUUAUUCAAACACUAACUUCUCUAAGUACUCAUUUACUUUUAAAGUAAAGCCCAAGUUUGGCAAGUUAAGCUCAUCAUUUCAGACUGUGAGAUCUUUCUUGGGAUAUAUCAAAGUUAAAGACUUACAGACUGAAAGGGAACACUACCUUAAAAUAUACUGACAUAACAUUGAGCUCUGUCCCUGUAACACUCCCAAAGGCACUGAGCUUCAUCAGGUGAACAGCUCCAGCCACUGAAAACCAGAGCCCCUCAAACACCAAUGCAUUUGCAGAAGCUCAGAUGGCAUACUAACCUAUAAGGGAGCUCCUGUCUCUGUCAAGUGGCUUUCUGCAUUUCUUCUCUCAUUUCCUCAUCACCUGCCACCUGAAAAAGCAACAUCACUGCAGGGUUACAAAAUGACAUGCAUGCGCAUACAGGUAGAACCUACAGCAGUGAAUUCUAGAACCUUCAGAAGUCAUUUCUAAUCAUCACAGGCAUUUCUGUGGACUUCUCCCACUGCAAUCACACUUCAAGGUACUACAAUGAACAUUAAAAAUGUUAUUUGACAGUUUUAUUAACUAAAAAGUUAGUCUUUAUUCACUGACAACAUUCUGCAUGUUCCAUCCUCAGCACGGAUACACAGUAUGAAGUCAGGCAGUACAUUUGUUCAGAAAGGCCAUUCUCACUCACUCUCUUCAGAGCAGUUGAACAUUUUGCCAAUCAUCACAACAAAUUCCUCAGACAGUCUCAAGCUUAAAAGCCAGUUUUUCUGAUGCAGCAGGACUCAGUAAGAACAGCCAUACGCCAGCUCAGAAAGUUGAAGCAAAACAUCUAACACACUAAGAGUGGUUACAUUAAUCUGGUAUCAAACUCACUAAGGCACUCCUCUGGUCUGCACUGUCACGUGGGCUUGCUGAAAAGAAGAGUAGAUCACAGUAUCUGAUUAACAGUUUUAAGUUUCUUCAGCAUUUUAGUAAUUUCAAGUACUCUCAACAUUGAAUAAGCAGCACUUCUUUCAGGAUCAGUCUGUCACAGAACUAUCAACCAAAUCCACCCACACUGCAGAAAUCAAAGCGCUAUGGCACAGAUGGUGCACAUGAGAGUGUUACCUACAUCAGCUGGCACUGUGGUGUAAAGAAACUGUAAGACAGCACCUUAAGACAGCUUCUAAGUGUGCUUUGAUGAACUAUUUACAGAAUUCAGCACUGUGUGUUUUUCUUCUACUUCCCACAGCCAGCAGGAUGCAGAAUGCUGCAAGAUAUGGUUUAGUAGCUUAGUGGAUAGUAAUGGUGAUAGGAUGGUUGGACUGAAAGGUUGUGGGUCCUUUCCAACCUUGUGAUUCUAUGAAUUCACGAAUUCACAACGCCAAACAUGCCAAUCCUUCAGACUUUAAAGAGUAACUACAUUUGGAACCACGUUUGCACAAUUCUCUCACUACAUAAACCUGUCACAGGUCUCAUUGUCACCACUGCAAUGGGUGUUACAGUGAGGAAAGCACAACCUGUUGCUCUUCUAGCCCCGUUCUUCAAUUGAGACACACAUGGAGUUGUGUCUACCUGCUGAAUAACAAGGCGUAACAAUUAACUCUUCACUACACCUGCAGAACAGCUUGUAGUAAAGCCCAGCCAAUCAUCUCUAACAUGGACACAUCACUAACUGCCUUCUGGGAACUGGCUUUGUCCUUCCACAUGAAAUAUUUCUUUGGGGAAAAAAACCACAGAACAGCUAAACCUUCAGCUUACAGUCCUCACACAACAACCACCCCAUAGGAAAAAAACUUCCUCAGAUAUUCCUCCACUUCAAGAAACAUUAAAGAACAACAUCAACUUAAUUGCACUUUUAUCACAUCACUUGUCCAACAGUUCCCCCUGCUGUGUUUGUCAAGCUCCACCAAAGCCUCUCUGAGAAGGCACAGACCCAAGUUCUCUCAUACCAAAACUCAGCAGAAACAAAGCAUACCUCCUUAACCAGUGUAUUCCACAGGAGCGCAUGGAAGUAACAGAUCUGUGCACCAGCUGGAAGAAUUCAAACAGAUCAAAACGGUUACAAUAGCUCAUUGCUGCAGAGCUAGAAAAGAUGUAGUCCAGUUGCAUUGUUUCCUUCCUACAUUUCUGCACAUGCAAUAAGAAAUGAGCCCUUUGAAUUAAUUACUGCUUGAAUAAAUAUAAGCACUGUCCCUUCAUAUAAGUAACACAGCCAAUACAUGCAUCAGCUGUGGGUUGCGAAAGAAGGUGUUUUUCUAAGCACCAGGUUCCAGGUUUUUGUCUACAGCACCAGACAAAAACUGAACACGUGCUGAAACAGAAUGCAUCUGCUUCCCUCUUAUUUUUCACUGUUUUUGAAACAGUAUUUGAAGAGCACACAGAAGUAAAGGUAUUUCUCAGUCAACUAUAUACUUACUCCAUAACUGUCACCAUCCAUUACUGGGCCUCCUGUUUUUAAGAGACAGGUAUGAUUUGGGCUAUGGUAACAGGCACAACAAGCUCAGUAUGACUAUCAGAUACUGUUGUAAGAACAAUAUACACUGUGUUGAGUUGACACAUCAUCUACUCCAGUAGCUUUACUGCAACAAAAGCUGAAAGCAGAUGCCCCAGUUUGAUCCUCUUACAAGGAAACAUGCUUAUUUUCAUUACUGGUGUAGCUGUACCUCUUGGCUCCCCCUGUUAAAAAGUAACCCUGAAGUUUUUCUUCUACCCUAUUUCCUAGACCCUCCGGAAGGUCUGAUAACAUCUGAUAACACACAGAUCAUCCCUUUGUGAGAAGCUCCACAGCUUUAGCAGUAACAUCCAAGACCACCUCCUGACAUUCCUUCCUCCUGCAGUUUUACCACAGGGCAGUUGAUCAGAUGCUGCAACUGCCUGAGCCAUCAGUACUGACAUCUCCACUAGGAGCACAAGGCUCCAGGGAGCACCCAACAUCAACCACAGUUGGUUCAUCUUGAAUCAUGAAUGCCCUGCAGCAUUCAACACCAGCUGAAACAAGUAUUGCUGUCUAUCACUGCUAACACAAACUGCUUUUAAUAUACAGAUGUUAAAGAAGUGAUAUUUAGUUUCUGUUCUAACAUAGGCUACAGGCUGGGCUGAUAGGAGUUGUGAGGUAAAGCAAACAAGCUACCUGGAGAAAGAACUGCACACCAAGUAACAGCUUACCUCACACAGCACUUGAUCGAUAUUCAUCAUCCAAAAGCAACACACUUAAAGCCAUUCUGAUGAGGCUGCUUGGCUGACAGCUCAGUGCUGACUUCAGACCAACAUUUUAAGCCAAGAGGACCUUAAUAAGGUCUCUGAGAAGUGACCGCUGCCACCUUCUUGACUCGUGCUCUGUUCACUCAAAGAGAACCACACAAACAUUCACUUAUCGGCAGCACUCUUCUUUACUUCAACCACUCCAGCUGACUUCACUCGCUUUGUUCUGGCCUUCGAUUUCCUCUUGUUGGGAAUUUUACUGCUUAUGAUGAAACUGCUGUUGUCCACUACUCUGACAUCGAAGUCUUCUGGAUUAUCAGAGCCCAAGCAGUUGUUAUCACCAUCAUCAUCAUCAUUUGUCUCCUGGAUAGGAGAAAUGGGGCCUUCAUCAUCUAAAUAUUUGUGUUUCCGCACUGCCAGGCAUUCUCUUUCUAAGUCUUCACUGGCUUCAAGGGCUUUCAAAGCCUUUUUGAGGUGUUCCUCAUAUUUGAGCAUUUCAACGUACUGGAAAUAGCCCUUGGCAGCUGCUUGCUGAAGGAAAGAAUGAGAUUUUAAAUACCACUACAAAAGAAAUGAAGCAUUUGUAUAAACAACUGAACUGUAAUAUUAAAUGACAGCCUUAGGUCAGCUGGUUUAACUUGUUAAGGUAAUGAAUGGAAAGCAACAGUCAUCCUAUAUAACAAAAUAAAAGUGGAUUCAUUUCACUGUGGCAUGUCGGGUAGAAGCACAACAUACCAACCUGCAUUCACUGUUCCUUAAAAUAAAUGUAAAAUCACAACUUCUCUCCCACAGAACAGAGGGCUCACCUCAUAGCUAAGGACCAUGUUCAAGGGAAUAUGCUUUCUCCCGUAAUGUUUUUCAACAAAAGGGAACUGAAAGCCUCGAUCCUUAAGCCUUUUCCUUCGCUCCUGAGGUGAGGCUGUCAUGGGCUGCUUCCCA